rnacentral:rRNA from 1 species
AGCAGCCGCGGUAAUUCCAGCUCCAAUAGCGUAUAUUAAAGUUGUUGCAGUUAAAAAGCUCGUAGUUGAAUUUCGGAAUCAGUACGCCGGUCGUGCCUCCGGUAUGUACUGGUGUCACUGGUUCCUCCCUUCUGAAGAACCAUCAUGCUAUUAAUUUAGUGUGGUGGGAAAUCAGGACUGUUACUUUGAAAAAAUUAGAGUGUUUAAAGCAGGCUCACGCUUGAAUACAUUAGCAUGGAAUAAUGAAAUAGGACGUUGAUCCUAUUUUGUUGGUUUCUAGGAUUGACGUAAUGAUUAAUAGGGAUAGCUGGGGGCAUUAGUAUUCAAUUGUCAGAGGUGAAAUUCUUGGAUUUAUUGAAGACUAACUACUGCGAAAGCAUUUGCCAAGGAUGUUUUCAUUAAUCAAGAACGAAAGUUAGGGGAUCGAAGACGAUCAGAUACCGUCGUAGUCUUAACCAUAAACUAUGCCGACUAGGGAUCGGAUGAUGUUAAUUUUUUAAUGACUCAUUCGGCG